rnacentral:rRNA from 1 species
GCUGGGCGCAGCUACCAUGCAGUCGAGCGGUAACAGAUCCAGCUUGCUGGAUGCUGACGAGCGGCGGACGGGUGAGUAAUGCAUAGGAAUCUGCCCGAUAGUGGGGGAUAACCUGGGGAAACCCAGGCUAAUACCGCAUACGUCCUACGGGAGAAAGGGGGCUUCGGCUCCCGCUAUCGGAUGAGCCUAUGUCGGAUUAGCUAGUUGGUGAGGUAACGGCUCACCAAGGCCACGAUCCGUAGCUGGUCUGAGAGGAUGAUCAGCCACAUCGGGACUGAGACACGGCCCGAACUCCUACGGGAGGCAGCAGUGGGGAAUAUUGGACAAUGGGGGGAACCCUGAUCCAGCCAUGCCGCGUGUGUGAAGAAGGCCCUCGGGUUGUAAAGCACUUUCAGCGAGGAAGAACGCCUAGCGGUUAAUACCCGCUAGGAAAGACAUCACUCGCAGAAGAAGCACCGGCUAACUCCGUGCCAGCAGCCGCGGUAAUACGGAGGGUGCAAGCGUUAAUCGGAAUUACUGGGCGUAAAGCGCGCGUAGGUGGCUUGAUAAGCCGGUUGUGAAAGCCCCGGGCUCAACCUGGGAACGGCAUCCGGAACUGUCAAGCUAGAGUGCAGGAGAGGAAGGUAGAAUUCCCGGUGUAGCGGUGAAAUGCGUAGAGAUCGGGAGGAAUACCAGUGGCGAAGGCGGCCUUCUGGACUGACACUGACACUGAGGUGCGAAAGCGUGGGUAGCAAACAGGAUUAGUCCC